rnacentral:rRNA from 1 species
AGAGUUUGAUCCUGGCUCAGGACGAACGCUGGCGGCGUGCUUAACACAUGCAAGUCGAACGGUGAUGAGGGGCUUGCCCUUCUGAUCAGUGGCGAACGGGUGAGUAACACGUGAGUAACCUGCCCUUCACUCUGGGAUAACGCUGGGAAACUGGUGCUAAUACUGGAUAUGACCUGCUCGGGCAUCCGAUGUGGGUGGGAAGAUUUAUUGGUAGGGGAUGGACUCGCGGCCUAUCAGCUUGUUGGUGAGGUAAUGGCUCACCAAGGCGACGACGGGUAGCCGGCCUGAGAGGGCGAUCGGCCACACUGGGACUGAGACACGGCCCAGACUCCUACGGGAGGCAGCAGUGGGGAAUAUUGCACAAUGGGCGAAAGCCUGAUGCAGCGACGCCGCGUGAGGGAUGAAGGCCUUCGGGUUGUAAACCUCUUUCAGCAGGGAAGAAGCGUCUGGGUUUUCUCGGGUGUGACGGUACCUGCAGAGGAGCACCGGCUAACUACGUGCCAGCAGCCGCGGUAAUACGUAGGGUGCGAGCGUUGUCCGGAAUUAUUGGGCGUAAAGAGCUUGUAGGCGGUUUGUCGCGUCUGCUGUGAAAUUUCGGGGCUCAACCCCGAACUUGCAGUGGGUACGGGCAGACUAGAGUGUGGUAGGGGAGACUGGAAUUCCUGGUGUAGCGGUGAAAUGCGCAGAUAUCAGGAGGAACACCGAUGGCGAAGGCAGGUCUCUGGGCCACUACUGACGCUGAGAAGCGAAAGCAUGGGGAGCGAACAGGAUUAGAUACCCUGGUAG